rnacentral:rRNA from 1 species
UAAUCGCGUAUCGGCAAUGACGCGGUGAAUACGUUCCCGGGCCUUGUACACACCGCCCGUCAAGCCAUGGAAGUCAGGGAGACCUGAAGACGGUAACCGGGGUG